rnacentral:rRNA from 1 species
UACGUAGGGAGCGAGCGUUGUUCGGAGUUACUGGGCGUAAAGAGUGCGUAGGCGGUUUUCUAAGUUUGGUGUGAAAUCUCCCGGCUCAACUGGGAGGGUGCGCCGAAGACUGGAAGGCUUGAGUAUGGGAGAGGUAAGCGGAAUUCCUGGUGUAGCGGUGAAAUGCGUAGAUAUCAGGAGGAACACCUGCGGUGUAGACGGCUUACUGGACCAUAACUGACGCUGAGGCACGAAAGCGUGGGUAGCAAACAGG